UACGAAGGGGGCGAGCGUUGUUCGGAUUUACUGGGCGUAAAGGGCGCGCAGGCGGCCGCUCAAGUCAGGCGUGAAAGCCCCGGGCUUAACCUGGGAACUGCGUCUGGGACUGAGUGGCUAGAGUUCGGGAGAGGAGAGUGGAAUUCCCAGUGUAGAGGUGAAAUUCGUAGAUAUUGGGAAGAACACCGGUGGCGAAGGCGGCUCUCUGGACCGAGACUGACGCUGAGGCGGCGAAAGCGGUGGGGAGCAAACAGG
rnacentral:rRNA from 1 species